UACAGAGGUCUCAAGCGUUGUUCGGAUUCAUUGGGCGUAAAGCGAGCGUAGGCGGCCCGAUAAGUCUGCUGUAAAAGUCAACGGCUCAACCGUUGAAAGCCGGUGGAUACUGUCGGGCUAGAGUUCGGAAGAGGCAAGUGGAAUUCCUGGUGUAGCGGUGGAAUGCGCAGAUAUCAGGAGGAACACCUAUAGCGAAGGCAGCUUGCUGGGACGAUACUGACGCUAAGGCUCGAAAGCGUGGGGAGCGAACAGG
rnacentral:rRNA from 1 species